GCGGGGGUUGCCAAGCCCGGUCAACGGCGUGAGGCUCAGAUGUUAUAGCCUGACUGGGAUACCUCAUCUCUUAGGGGUUCGUGGGUUCAAAUCCCACCUCCCGCA
rnacentral:tRNA from 1 species